rnacentral:rRNA from 1 species
CCUACGGGGCGCAGCAGUGAGGAAUAUUGGUCAAUGGGCGGAAGCCUGAACCAGCCAAGUCGCGUGAGGGAAGAAGGCCCUGCGGGUCGCAGACCUCUUUGGACGGGGAGCAAGGCCGCCGACGUGUCGGCGGAAGGAGAGCACCCGUAGAACAAGCAUCGGCUAACUCCGUGCCAGCAGCCGCGGUAAUACGGAGGAUGCGAGCGUUAUCCGGAUUUAUUGGGUGUAAAGGGAGCGUAGGCGGCAGGGCAAGCCUGAUGUGAAAGCCCGGGGCUCAACCCCGGGACUGCAUUGGGAACUGCCCC